rnacentral:rRNA from 1 species
UUAAUGAGAGUUUGAUCCUGGCUCAGGACGAACGCUGGCGGCGUGCCUAAUACAUGCAAGUAGAACGCUGAGAACUGGUGCUUGCACCGGUCCAAGGAGUUGCGAACGGGUGAGUAACGCGUAGGUAACCUACCUCAUAGCGGGGGAUAACUAUUGGAAACGAUAGCUAAUACCGCAUAAAAGUGUUUAACCCAUGUUAAACAUUUAAAAGGUGCAACUGCAUCACUAUGAGAUGGACCUGCGUUGUAUUAGCUAGUUGGUGAGGUAACGGCUCACCAAGGCGACGAUACAUAGCCGACCUGAGAGGGUGAUCGGCCACACUGGGACUGAGACACGGCCCAGACUCCUACGGGAGGCAGCAGUAGGGAAUCUUCGGCAAUGGACGGAAGUCUGACCGAGCAACGCCGCGUGAGUGAAGAAGGUUUUCGGAUCGUAAAGCUCUGUUGUUAGAGAAGAAUGAUGGUGGGAGUGGAAAAUCCACCAUGUGACGGUAACUAACCAGAAAGGGACGGCUAACUACGUGCCAGCAGCCGCGGUAAUACGUAGGUCCCGAGCGUUGUCCGGAUUUAUUGGGCGUAAAGCGAGCGCAGGCGGUUCUUUAAGUCUGAAGUUAAAGGCAGUGGCUCAACCAUUGUACGCUUUGGAAACUGGAGAACUUGAGUGCAGAAGGGGAGAGUGGAAUUCCAUGUGUAGCGGUGAAAUGCGUAGA